GACGAACGCUGGCGGCGUGCCUAAUACAUGCAAGUCGAGCGAAUGGAUUAAGAACUUGCUCUUAUGAAGUUAGCGGCGGACGGGUGAGUAACACGUGGGUAACCUGCCCAUAAGACUGGGAUAACUCCGGGAAACCGGGGCUAAUACCGGAUAACAUUUUGAACCGCAUGGUUCGAAAUUGAAAGGCGGCUUCGGCUGUCACUUAUGGAUGGACCCGCGUCGCAUUAGCUAGUUGGUGAGGUAACGGCUCACCAAGGCAACGAUGCGUAGCCGACCUGGGAGGGUGAUCGGCCACACUGGGACUGAGACACGGCCCAGACUCCUACGGGAGGAAGCAGUAGGGAAUCUUCCGCAAUGGACGAAAGUCUGACGGAGCAACGCCGCGUGAGUGAUGAAGGCUUUCGGGUCGUAAAACUCUGUUGUUAGGGAAGAACAAGUGCUAGUUGAAUAAGCUGACACCUUGACGGUACCUAACCAGAAAGCCACGGCUAACUACGUGCCAGCCGCCGCGGUAA
rnacentral:rRNA from 1 species